rnacentral:rRNA from 1 species
ACACAUGCAAGUCGAGGGGCAGCAUGAUUGAAGCUUGCUUCAAUUGAUGGCGACCGGCGCACGGGUGAGUAACGCGUAUCCAACCUUCCGUACACUCAGGGAUAGCCUUUCGAAAGAAAGAUUAAUACCCGAUGGUAUGAUGAGAUUGCAUGAUAGCAUCAUUAAAGAUUUAUCGGUGUACGAUGGGGAUGCGUUCCAUUAGGUAGUAGGCGGGGUAACGGCCCACCUAGCCGACGAUGGAUAGGGGUUCUGAGAGGAAGGUCCCCCACAUUGGAACUGAGACACGGUCCAAACUCCUACGGGAGGCAGCAGUGAGGAAUAUUGGUCAAUGGACGAGAGUCUGAACCAGCCAAGUAGCGUGAAGGAUGAAGGUCCUACGGAUUGUAAACUUCUUUUAUAAGGGAAUAAAACCUCCCACGUGUGGGAGCUUGUAUGUACCUUAUGAAUAAGCAUCGGCUAACUCCGUGCCAGCAGCCGCGGUAAUACGGAGGAUGCGAGCGUUAUCCGGAUUUAUUGGGUUUAAGGGGAGCGCAGACGGGUCGUUAAGUCAGCUGUGAAAGUUUGGGGCUCAACCUUAAAAUUGCAGUUGAUACUGGCGUCCUUGAGUGCGGUUGAGGUGUGCGGAAUUCGUGGUGUAGCGGUGAAAUGCUUAGAUAUCACGAAGAACUCCGAUUGCGAAGGCAGCACACUAAGCCGUAACUGACGUUCAUGCUCGAAAGUGUGGGUAUCAAACAGGAUUAGAUACCCUGGUAGUCCACACGGUAAACGAUGGAUACUCGCUGUUGGCGAUAUACAGUCAGCGGCUUAGUGAAAGCGUUAAGUAUCCCACCUGGGGAGUACGCCGGCAACGGUGAAACUCAAAGGAAUUGACGGGGG